AUUGAACGCUGGCGGCAGGCUUAACACAUGCAAGUCGAGCGGAGAUGAGGUGCUCGCACCUUAUCUUAGCGGCGGACGGGUGAGUAAUGCUUAGGAAUCUGCCUAUUAGUGGGGGACAACAUUCCGAAAGGAAUGCUAAUACCGCAUACGUCCUACGGGAGAAAGCAGGGGAUCUUCGGACCUUGCGCUAAUAGAUGAGCCUAAGUCGGAUUAGCUAGUUGGUGGGGUAAAGGCCUACCAAGGCGACGAUCUGUAGCGGGUCUGAGAGGAUGAUCCGCCACACUGGGACUGAGACACGGCCCAGACUCCUACGGGAGGCAGCAGUGGGGAAUAUUGAACAAUGGGCGGAAGCCUGAUCCAGCCAUGCCGCGUGUGUGAAGAAGGCCUUUUGGUUGUAAAGCACUUUAAGCGAGGAGGAGGCUACCUGGAUUAAUACUCUAGGAUAGUGGACGUUACUCGCAGAAUAAGCACCGGCUAACUCUGUGCCAGCCGCCGCCGUAACAC
rnacentral:rRNA from 1 species